rnacentral:rRNA from 1 species
GUAACGGCUCACCAAGGCCACGAUGCAUAGCCGACCUGAGAGGGUGAUCGGCCACAUUGGGACUGAGACACGGCCCAAACUCCUACGGGAGGCAGCAGUAGGGAAUCUUCGGCAAUGGACGAAAGUCUGACCGAGCAACGCCGCGUGAGUGAAGAAGGUUUUCGGAUCGUAAAACUCUGUUGUUAGAGAAGAACAAGGAUGAGAGUAACUGUUCAUCCCUUGACGGUAUCUAACCAGAAAGCCACGGCUAACUACGUGCCAGCAGCCGCGGUAAUACGUAGGUGGCAAGCGUUGUCCGGAUUUAUUGGGCGUAAAGCGAGCGCAGGCGGUUUCUUAAGUCUGAUGUGAAAGCCCCCGGCUCAACCGGGGAGGGUCAUUGGAAACUGGGAGACUUGAGUGCAGAAGAGGAGAGUGGAAUUCCAUGUGUAGCGGUGAAAUGCGUAGAUAUAUGGAGGAACACCAGUGGCGAAGGCGGCUCUCUGGUCUGUAACUGACGCUGAGGCUCGAAAGCGUGGGGAGCAAACAGGAUUAGAUACCCUGGUAGUCCACGCCGUAAACGAUGAGUGCUAAGUGUUGGAGGGUUUCCGCCCUU